rnacentral:lncRNA from 1 species
GAGCCAUGCCCCAUAGACACUAUGCUUUGCUUUAUGCAUCAUAGCUAUGACAAAGUUUAAUCUAUACACUAAGUACAGUAAGUUAUAUUAAUUUAUAUACCUAGAUUAAUACCUAAAACUAUUAUAGUAAUAUAGUGUAAUAAAAGCUGUUUUAAAAUUAUGUAUUGUUUAUUUCUGGAAUUCUUCAUUGAAUAUUUUCAGAUCUCAGUUAACCAUGGCUAUACCUUGCUAAUGGAGGAAACUACUAUACUAUAUACUAUAGAUAUAUAUAGUAUAUAAUAUAUAUACAUAUAUAUAGUACUGUAGUUUAUACUAUACAGUAUAAACUAGCACAUAGUAGACACAGAGGAGCAACAAUCAGAGGGGCAGGUGGGAGGAGCCUGAUACCCAGAGGCAUCUUUUGAAGAACUCACUAAAAAAAAAAAAAAAAAAAUUAAAAUGUGGACUAUACUAAAGUUUUUUAAGCAAUAGCUAUUCUUGCGGGGGGGUGUCCUAUCCUUAUAAAGAAGCACAUUAAGGUUCCAUCUAAAAUAAAUACGAAAUACUUUGUAGUUUCACCUAUUCUACAUAUGUUCCAUCUGUUAAAACCCAUGCAAAGUGCCUCUCAUUGACUUAGGUGGUGGUGAGGGAGUGUCUCUGCUCUUCAAGAAGUAUAGAAAGUGUAUUUGGUCAUGAUGAAUUUUCAUUCUACAAAGAACAAGUUAAACUUUGGGGGUGGGGCAUUUCACAGCCAGGUGAUGUCCUUUUGUUCCUAUAACUUGGAGGAGUGGCUGUGGAGUUCCUCUCCCCUGGAGAUUUUUAACUGGCACUUUGCUUCAGAGCCACUUCUUAUACAACAACAUCCUGAAUAUUAGCUUCCUCCCACAGAACUAAAAAGCUUACAUACAGGCAAUUUACCUAAUCUCCUCUGCUGUGCCUAAUGGACAGGCUUUCAGUUUCUCAGAAAUAAAGCUACCGGCAUUGGGGCUUCUGUACGGUAACAGUAAGGCCUAGAGGGCAAGCAUCAACAAUCUGACAUGCAGGUGACAAAUCAUGCAGUUCUCUGUGCAUGUAACCUUUGUCCCCUGUGGCAGAGGGAAGGAGAUCCUUUCUAGGGGUGGAGGCAGGGAGGCCUCCCCUGGGGCCACAGUAUCAGAGAGGAUAUCCUGCUUCGGCUGACAGGAACCACCCUUGGCCUCUCUACUUCAGUCCCUACAAGGUACCCUAAAUGCAACCUUGCCUUGACUUUAGCCAAGUAUGGCCAAAUGCUUCUUUAGUAAAAUGGGUUUCUAGAGUAGUCUCAAAAUCCUUGUAUUAGUUUCCUUUCCAUGGAUCUGAUAGAACACCACAGCCAAGGCAAUUUAUAGAAAGAAGAAUUUAUUCGGGAUUAGAGAUGGGAUGAGUCCAUGGUGACUGGUAUCCAGGCCGUAAGCAGCAGGCAUGGCAGCAGGCAUAGGAAACAGAGAGCUGACUGACAUCGUUAAAUGCAGUGGGAAGCAGAGAGAACUGGAAGUGACUCAAGUCAUUGACUGUCAAAGCCCACCCCAAGCGAUGCACUUCCUCCAGCAAGACUGUACCACCUAAACCUACCCCAAGCAGUGCCACCAACUGGGAACCGAGUGUUCGAAUCCCUAAGACUAUGGGGAACGUGUACCCUUCAAGCCACCACAACCAAAGAGAGACACCACCUUAGGGCAAAGGGAUGGAUGAUGAUGGUUCUCCAAGCAAGUACAACUAACAACUAAUCAGGCUUAGCUUUUCCAAUACUUAACAAAAUAGACUUCAUCCCAACUAGACAGAAGGGAUAAAAGAAGAUUGCACCAUUCUCAUUAAGGGAUCAAUCCUUCAAGAGGAUGUUACAAUCCUAAAUACAUGCACACAAGUGCAUCCAACCUCAUAAUGCAAGAACUGAUAGAUGUCAAGUCACAGAUUAGCCCCAACUCAGUAAUAGGAGGUGAUUUCAUACCCUACUGUCCCAAUAGGUAGCUGAUCUAGACAAAAGGAGACAGAAGAGACAUUAGCAUUGGAUGAUGCCAUUGAUCAAAUGGAAUAACAGAUGUAUAGAACCUUCCACCUAAACACCAAAGAGCACACAUUGUUCUCAGCAACUUGUAGAACUUUCCUCAAAUAGAUCACACAUUAAGACACAAGCAAGUCUUAUUAAGUGUACGAUUAAAGUAACAUCUUGUAUUCUGCCUAAGCAAACUGGGAUAAGAGGAAUGUUUAUAGCUCAAAGUACUGACAUCAAAAAAC